AGGAAGGUCUGUAGCUCAGUGGUAGGGCAUCUGCUUUGCACGCAGAAGGUCAUGGGUUCAGUCCCUGGCAUCCCUA